rnacentral:rRNA from 1 species
GAUGAACGCUGGCGGCGUGCCUAAUACAUGCAAGUCGAGCGAACGGACGAGAAGCUUGCUUCUCUGAUGUUAGCGGCGGACGGGUGAGUAACACGUGGAUAACCUACCUAUAAGACUGGGAUAACUUCGGGAAACCGUAGCUAAUACCGGAUAAUAUUUUGAACCGCAUGGUUCAAAAGUGAAAGACGGUCUUGCUGUCACUUAUAGAUGGAUCCGCGCUGCAUUAGCUAGUUGGUAAGGUAACGGCUUACCAAGGCAACGAUGCAUAGCCGACCUGAGAGGGUGAUCGGCCCCACUGGAACUGAGACACGGUCCCGACUCCUACGGGAGGCAGCAGUAGGGAAUCUUCCGCAAUGGGCGAAAGCCUGACGGAGCAACGCCGCGUGAGUGAUGAAGGUCUUCGGAUCGUAAAACUCUGUUAUUAGGGAAGAACAUAUGUGUAAGUAACUGUGCACAUCUUGACGGUACCUAAUCAGAAAGCCACGGCUAACUACGUG